rnacentral:rRNA from 1 species
UACGUAGGGUGCGAGCGUUGUCCGGAAUUACUGGGCGUAAAGAGCUCGUAGGUGGUUUGUCGCGUUGUUCGUGAAAACUCACAGCUCAACUGUGGGCGUGCGGGCGGAUACGGGCAGACUGGAGUACUGCAGGGGAGACUGGAAUUCCUGGUGUAGCGGUGGAAUGCGCAGAUAUCAGGAGGAACACCGGUGGCGAAGGCGGGUCUCUGGGCAGUAACUGACGCUGAGGAGCGAAAGCGUGGGGGAGCGAACAGG